rnacentral:rRNA from 1 species
AGUGAACGCUGGCGGCGUGCUUAACACAUGCAAGUCGAACGAGAACGGAAUAUAGCUUGCUAUAUUUGUCAGCUAAGUGGCGCACGGGUGAGUAAUGUAUAGAUAACCUGCCCUUAAGAAAGGAAUAACAGUUGGAAACGACUGCUAAUGCCCUAUAUGCCUUUAAUACAUAAGUAUGCAAGGGAAACGCUUUAGUGCUUAAGGAUGGGUCUGUAUGGUAUCAGCUUGUUGGUGAGGUAAUGGCUCACCAAGGCUAUGACGCGUAACUGGUUUGAGAGGAUGAUCAGUCACACUGGAGCUGAGACACGGUCCAGACUCCUACGGGAGGCAGCAGUGGGGAAUAUUGCACAAUGGACGAAAGUCUGAUGCAGCAACGCCGCGUGGAGGAUGACACAUUUCGGUGCGUAAACUCCUUUUAUAUAGGAAGAUAAUGACGGUACUAUAUGAAUAAGCACCGGCUAACUCCGUGCCAGCAGCAGCCGCGG